AACGUAGGAGACAAACGUUAUCCGGAGUUACUGGGCGUAAAGGGCGUGUAGGUGGUUUCGUAAGUCUGGCGUGAAAUUUUUCGGCUUAACCGGGGAACUGCGUCUGAUACUGGAUGGCUUGAGUUUGGGAGAGGGAUGCGGAAUUCCAGGUGUAGCGGUGAAAUGCGUAGAUAUCUGGAGGAACACCGGUGGCGAAGGCGGGUCUCUGGGCCGUAACUGACGCUGAGGAGCGAAAGCGUGGGGAGCGAACAGG
rnacentral:rRNA from 1 species